rnacentral:rRNA from 1 species
AGCUCGUAGUUGGAUUUCUGGUGGGGCUGUCGGCCUGGCUCCGAAAGGGGUUUUGGUUAGUACACGCCUGGCCAUCCUCGGGGUAUUCUUUGCUGGCAUUAAGUUGUCGGCGGAGUGACGCUCGUCGUUUACUGUGAACAAAUUAGAGUGUUCAAAGCAGGCUUAGGCCGUUGAAUACAUUAGCAUGGAAUAAUGAGAUAGGACUUUGGUGGUCUAUUUUGUUGGUUUGCACGCCGAAGUAAUGAUUAAUAGGGGCGGUUGGGGGUAUUCGUAUUCAAUUGUCAGAGGUGAAAUUCUUGGAUUUAUGGAAGACGAACUACUGCGAAAGCAUUUACCAAGGAUGUUUUCAUUAAUCAAGAACGAAAGUUAGGGGAUCGAAGAAGAUUAGAUACCUUCGUAGUCUUAACCAUAAACUAUGCCGACUAGGGAUUGAUGGUCGUUUGUUCAGGCUCCGU